rnacentral:lncRNA from 1 species
CUUUUUCUUUUUUUUCUUUUUUUUUUUUUUUUGUCUUUUUUGUCUAUUUAGGGCCGCACACACGGCAUAUGGAGGUUCCCAGGCUAGGAGUCAAAUCAGAGCUGUAGAUGCCACCCUACACCGCAGCCACAGCCAUGCCAGAUCCGAGUCGCGUCUGCGACCUACACCACAGCUGACAGCAACACCAGGUCCUUAACCCACUGAGCGAGGCCAGGGAUCGAACCUUCAACUUCAUGAUUCCUAGUCAGAUUUGCUUCCGCUGUGCCACAACGGGAACUCCUCACACUAUUUCUUAAGUUGGUUAUUUGCUAUUGUUACUGUUCGCGGUAAUUGUGUGCCAGUGAUCUUUUAUUACUAACAUGCCAUAUUAAUACUGCUUCUCCCGUCACUGUCUCUCAUUCCCCAAGCCUGUAAUGUGGGUACUGUUAUUAUUUCUAUUUUACAAAUGAGCCGUUUGGGCCUCAGAGCAGGAUCUGAAGCCACGUGGUGGAGGUGACCCUGCCUCUGUCCUUCGAGCAGCUUUGUCUGCCUCCUGUACUCAUACGUCUCGUUAAUCCUGACAUCUGGACCCGGUUCUCCCCAUUUCAUAGAGGAGGGAAAUCAAGAGCCCGAGAGGGUAAGGAAGGUGCCAGAGCUGCACAGCUGUGAAUUGCAAAGCUGGAAUGUCACCCCUUGGUUCCUGCCACGCUACCCCAGGCUUGCAGGAGCCCCAAAGGGUCGGCACAGGAGAGUGUGGCCUGAUCCCAGAGGCUGGAGGGCAGCUUCUGCAGGUCUUCAGGAAGGCACAGGAGUGGGCCUGGAGCUCGGUGGAGCCAGGGCCCAGCUUGCUCGUUGGGAGAUAAAACGGAGCAGAGAGUGAGGCUCUGGACUUUCUGAUACUAAGGCAGGGGAUCAGGGACAGUUUUCUGACAGUGAUCUCGCAUCCCAGCUGACGCAGGGCCCCCUGGAUUCCCGCUAGCUGUGCUUUUGUGAGAAGUAUGUACGGUGCAGGAGCCAGCACCCUGUGGGUUCUGCAGUGGAGCCGCUGGCCUGAGAGCUCUGUUCUCUGUGACCUUGGGAAAGGUACUCAGCCUUUCUGGGCACCUGUUUUCUCAUCCUAGAUAUGGGGACUGUAGCAGAACCCACCUCUUGUGAUGCCAGGGCCAUGGAAACAAGUUAGUACCAGUGAUGCGCUCGGAGCAGUGCCCAGCACCUGUUCCAUAGCGCGGGUUACUUCGAAAGAUCAGGCUCAUCUGUCUGGCUGAGCAAUUGUUCCACCUUUCUGAGCAUCGGCCGCCCCCUCUCCCUGCUUCUCUGACCCCAAAGCCUCCCGCGACCACGUCUCUUCUUUUAGAUUUGUUCCCUGAGUCCCCUGUCCUGCAAGCCCCAGGGCCUGUUUCUGUUUGUCCAUACACUGAGCUCUGAGCCCGAGGGAGGAGCGAGAAGGCUCGCUUCUGUCCUGAGUGGUGAGUGACGUGAGUGACUUAUCCAGGACGGCGAUAGGGUCCUGGGAGCACUGGACUCUUGCUCAGGCCCGUUAGGAGUCCAGGAGGAAAAUGUAGCCCCGGGAAAGCCCGCUUCAUUUCACACCCUCCUCCUCCUCUGUUUUAUUUCUGGGUCUGGCAAAGGGUCACAGGUUCUAAGUCAGACUAGAAGACAGGUUCUCCAACUUCACCUGCUUCAGGAUCUUGGGGGACCAGCUCUCAGACCUCAUCUUAAAGGGGCUGCCAGGAGUUCCCUGGUGGCUGAGCUGUUAAGGAGCCUGCAUUGUCACUGCCGUGGCUCUGGUCACUGCCACGAUGCAGGUUUGAUCCCUGGCCUGGGAACGUCCACAUGACACAAGUGCAGCCAAAAAAAAGGUGUAAAAUAUAGCUGAUCCAGGAAGAGACCCAGGGGUCUGCAUGUUUACCAAGCAGUGCAGGAGUUCCUGCUGCCAGUGAUGCGUGGAUGACACCUUGAGGAAAGUUGAUCUAAAGCAAAAGGGUCAGCAAACUACAGCCCAAGGGACGCCAAAGCCAGCUGAUUCCCCUCCCCCCAUUUUUGCUUUUUACAGCUGCACCUGUGACACCAUAUGGAGGUUCCCAGGCUAGGGGUCGAAUAGGAGCUGCAGCCACCAGCCUAUGCCAGAGCCACAGCAACGUGGGAUCUGAGCCGCCUCUGCGACCCACACCACAGCUCACGGCAACACCGGAUCCUUAACUCACUGAGCAAGGCCAGGGAUUGAACCUGUAACCUCACGGUUCCUAGUCAGAUUCGUUAACCACUGCGCCACGACGGGAACUCCGCUAUCUCCAUUUUUAGGAGCAUUGAAAGGAUCCAAAAAGAAAAAUUUUAAACAGCAUAAAGCAUAAUCCCUGGAUGCAAGUGCUCGUUGUAUACCAGCAAAAAUAGCAAUUACUAAUAUUACACCCAGAAGCUUUUAAUGAGCACGUGUCUGAUGCACUCCUUUCCAAGCCCUAGAAUGGAAUCUCCUAGUUGAUACAGGACCUGCUACGGAGAGAAAAUCACGCUUGGCAGGUUCGAACAUCGUUGGUCCCCAUGUAACUUUUGUUUCUUGAAUAGCCCCCUUCUUAUCUUGCUCGUAGUGAUAGCCGGUUGGGUUGUUUGUAUCUCUUUUCAUCUUUGUUUUUUUUCUCUUCUAGGGGCGCACCUGCAGCCUAUGGAAGUUACCUGGUUAGGGGUAGAAUCAGAGCUGUAGCUUCCGGUCUACACCACAGCUACCACAAUGCUCCAUCCUUAACCCACUGAGCGAGGCCAGGGAUCGAACCCCCAUCUUCCUGGAUACUAGCCAGGUUCUUAACAUGCUGAACCAUAACGGGAACUCCAAGGUUGCUUGUAUCUCUUUUUCCCAGAUUCAUGUACUCCUUCCUGAGUCUUUGUAGCGGUUAUCUAUUGCUGCCUAAUAAGUUACCCCAAAGCUUCAGGGUUUAAAACAAUAAACAAAUAUCUCCUAUUUUCUAUGGGUCAGAAAUCAGAGAGUCGUUUAGCUAGGUGGCUCUGCCUUGGAGUCUCUAGUGAAGUUGUAGUGGAGCCGUUGGCCGGGGCUCUGGUCUCUCAAGGCUUAAUGGGCUGGAAGUUUCAGACCCAAAAUAGCGCAUGCACGUGGGCCUUUCCACGGUGCUGCUCGGGCAUCCACAGAGUCUGGCUGGUGGCCAGCGAGCGAUCCCAGAGAGCGUGCCAGAGGGAAUUCUCAGGCCGUUUAGACCCUGGUCUGGGACAUCAGGCACUUCCAGUCAUCAGACCAGGGCCACUGAAGACGGCACUGGCCCCACCUGGAAGGAGGUUGUAAUCAUAGGUGGAAGUCCCGGCCGUCUGCCACUUCCCUCUGCUGCCUCUCAGGUGCGCGUGGAGGCUCCCUGGUCCUGCCCCGGACAAAGGCGUGAAGCAUGGAAAAUGCAGCCAUCCCUUCCCUCUGCGUCAGGACAGUCGCCGCCUUUUCGGGCGGGGUCGUGAUGGGAGAGCGAACACCGUAAAGGGAGCCAUCUGUCACAGCGAGGUCGCAGAGGCCAGCGGGUCAGCGGCGGCGAUGACCCCCGAGAGGGGACCCUGCACGCCGUCCCGCACAUCCCGUCAGCGGAGGUCUCCAAAGGCGGAUUCCAUCCAGCUACAGCCGGCACGGCAGGGGCUUUUGAGAUCGCCGGUUUUAUUUUGCCCCCCUCCUCCCCGCCGCCGCUGAGAGUAGGACACUUGCCUUGAAGAAUCAGUGCUUUGGACAGUGUGGGGGGUCCUCCCCUCAGUGUCUUUAGCUGGGCGUCGCUGGGAUCGAGGAAAGCAAAGCGACCGGGCUCAGCCUUCUCUCUCCCUCCGUCUUUUUCCGCCCGUCUCACACUCUCCUUCCUCCACUACAGACACGCGCCUCUCUUGACAACAGCCUGUCCAUCCCCGUCUCGUUCCUCCUCCUCCUCAUUCUUCUUAACCACGAGGAAAGAAAAUCGGGUCACAGUACCCACAACGCGCAGCGAGGACCCCCUAGUUAGUGUGACCCCGCUAGACUCUCCACGGCUGGGUCUCGUUUUCUGUGACUGCUCUUUGGUUCCUUUACUGGACACAUGUUCCUUCCUCCUGUGUGUUGCCGACACGUGUCUGAGAAUCUUGAUCGCUUGUGUGGUGCUUCAGGUUUGCACAGCAGUUCAGCGAGUAGUGUUUCCUCAAUGUGUCCUCUGUGAAACUGAGUGGGAUGGUACCCAUUUCCCAGAUGAGGACACCGAGGCUUAAGAGGACCAGUAAGUUACCCAGAAUCACACAGCUCCCGAGUGGCAGAGGGAACUAUCCAGCCAGGGUCUGCUGGCUCAUAAAUGUCAUGUUCUUCCCACGAGAGCCUACAGGCAGAAUAUACAUUCUUUGAGACCAAGUAUUGUGUUUUUCUCUGUUUUGAAUCCUGUUGGUUUUUGCCAAACAUUUCAGGUGAAUCAGUGAAUGAGUGAAUGAAUGAAGCCACGAUCCGUCAAGUCCAAAUGCUGCUCGUGUGCCUGAGUUACGGAGGUCUUGAAGUUCCUGCUUUGGAGCCCAGUGCCACCAGGGCUGCUGUGGCCUGAAUGACAAAGAGACGCAGGCACUCCCCUCCUCCCAUAAAUCUUGCAAAUCAGCAUUGUCUGUGCAGAGCAGGGCCCAGGUGUCAUGGCAGCAAACACCAAGAGACCCAGAAGGCUGAUGUGAGACAGUGCCUCCCGCCCCCCAAACACUGGCCGGUGCUAAGUCUGCAGAAUAUUUAAAUAAGGGGUUAAUUUAUAAAGUGAGCCCCAGGAAAGUUUCCAGGAUGGCCGUGCGUGUGCCUCAUAAAUCGGCACAAAUUGAAUCUAGCUUUCUGUGCCCGUCAGCUCCCAGGCAAACAGAAAUUUAUUGAGAGGUGUCUAGGUUGGCAUCGAAAGAAACACAGUCAAUGCAAAAAGUGCAUCCUCAGGGGCGUGUGAACCAGGGACGGAGGCUGGCAGAUGCAUCAGGUCCAGAAUGUCAAAUCCCCGCCACCAGGGAUUCGUUAAGUACAACCUCGUUUGUUGCGGGUGGAGGCCAGGUCCCAGCAAUCCCUGUCCUGUUCUCGAAGCUUCCACCGAGUCCUAAAUAGAGAAAGGAUUUUGUAUAUGGCGGAGGAUUUGUGGUUUGGGGGCGGGGUGGGGAGGAAGGUGCCGACAGGACCGCUAACCUUGGUGUUUUGCAUAUGUCGCAUUACUAGACGAGUUUAUCCGGGACCCAAAAUAUUGGGAAGGAUAGAAAUAUGAAGGUUUAGUUUUAUUGUUAUUUGGGUAUUAUUAUUAUGACUCUGCAUAGCAUUCCGGGAUGCCUCCUGCAUUCAUCCAAGGGAUCACAGCCAGGCCCUGUGCUGAGAACCUUAUACACGUUAUAUCCGGUUUUUUUCAAGGACUCAAUGCUUUCAGGAGGUCUGGAGGUUGUUGCAAAUGGGCCCAUUUUACGGAGGAGGCAAGUGAAGCUCCUAAAUUGAAGCCCAAGUAUCGUUAGCUACUAUACGGAUUUGAGUCCCAUUUACCCUGUUCCAAAGGCUGCCUUUUUUUUUUUUGUUUUUUUUUUUUUUAAAUCCAACAUUGCUUCUCAUUACUGUAGUGGUCUUUUCACUAUCUAGGACACAAGUGCUGGCAUCUGGCAAAAUGUCUCUGGCUAGCCAGGUUAUUUAAUAUUUCAAUCUAAUUUUUAUUCUUUUAGCUACAACCUGUGAAGGGAUGUGCAAAAUACCCUAAUGGUGAAAAGAGGCUUGAGUCCUGCCUAUUGAUAACUGCCGACUCCUCUGUAAGGGGGCCAGCAAGAAAGAUGGCUUUAAAAUACAAAGUGUCCAUGAGCAUAUUGGUGAAGUAGCUUCAUGUGGAAGAAAAAGCUGGAGAUAUGGUGGACCUGCCGUGAAGUCAAACAGUUGGAGCACUUAAGGAUGUGCGUAUACAAAUGGGCUUCAAGCCUUAUGUCAGUCCACUUGGCUAGACCAGGUAGUAUGAUCGCAUUUCCAAGAAGAAACAGAGACGUUAAGCAGCUUGCCUAAGAACACACAGCACUUGGGGAGUUCACCCUUUACUAGUGUGUCCUCUUGAAGAUGUGGGCGAACUGGACCAGAAGGAAAAACUAAAGUAGGAAAAAAAAAAAAAAAA